UACGUAGGGGGCAAGCGUUGUCCGGAUUUAUUGGGCGUAAAGAGCGUGUAGGCGGCCUUACAGGUCAGCUGUGAAAACUCGAGGCUCAACCUCGAGACGUCGGCGGAAACCAUCUGGCUAGAGUCCGGAAGAGGAGAGUGGAAUUCCUGGUGUAGCGGUGAAAUGCGCAGAUAUCAGGAAGAACACCCGUGGCGAAGGCGGCUCUCUGGGACGGUACUGACGCUGAGGCACGAAGGCCAGGGGAGCAAACGGG
rnacentral:rRNA from 1 species